rnacentral:rRNA from 1 species
AACGUAGGAGACAAACGUUAUCCGGAGUUACUGGGCGUAAAGGGCGUGUAGGCGGUUUCGUAAGUCUGGCGUGAAAUUUUUCGGCUUAACCGGGAAAGGUCGUCGGAUACUGCGGGACUAGAGGACGGUAGAGGCGUGUGGAAUUCCGGGUGUAGUGGUGAAAUGCGUAGAGAUCCGGGGGAACACCAGUGGCGAAGGCGACACGCUGGGCCGUACCUGACACUGAUGCGCGACAGCAUGGGGAGCAAACAGG